GCCACAGCUGCGUUGGGAAUCUGAGUUGGUUUCUACUAGGAGCCACAACAUGAGCCUGGACUCGCUCACUACUCCAGCAGGCAGCAUGGAAGCAGGGAGCCUCCUACCCAGCAAAGCCUCGAGAAUUCGUGAGGAAUACGGCUCGUGGCCUUGGGAGAGCCUCACAUUUUGUAAUAUUAUGCUCGAGUGCAACACCCCCCCCCCCCCCCCCCCCCCCCCCCCGCCUCGUGGACUCGGUCAACGGCCAUAGGGAGGAAACUAGAGGGGAGCUGCCCGCCUUAGCUGAGGUUCAGCCCCACACACCAGCCUCAGUGCAUCGUGUCCAGAGACUGUCACUGUCCUGCGCAUGCUCAGGCCACGGAUGGCAAGGGUCCGCUUUGUUGUCAAGGUGAGGAUUUAUUAUGUGGCCUUUGAUACUGACUAGUAAAGAGAUGAGAAGGGCAAGAAGGCAUCGGGGUUGAUUUUCCCCAUCAUUUUGGCCCCCUUUGUCAAAUCGAUCAUAAGCAAGUUUCUUUGCUGUGAAAUCUGAGUGGAGUAGUUUUCCUCCUCGCCUGCUAUGGACUGAUGUCCACUCACAUCCUCAUAGUGAAUGUCUUGGAGGAGCAUCGGAAGACCUGGCAUCCAGUCCUGCCUCUGGCAUUUGCUGUCGGUGCCGCGACUUUGCACCAACCAUCAGCUCUCUGUGAGCCUCACACAGAGGCUUUAUAAGAUGGGGAUAACGUCCAUGCUGUCUGUGCUCUAUGGCUGCCCAGUGCUUAGGGAUGUUGUUCAUGUGGGAGCCAUGCUCCAGAGGCUGCCUAUUUAUGGACUGCGUUCUUGUGGAAGCUAUCACCUAACUAUUACGUUUGCAGUUAUAAACCACGAGGACAGUGACCACAAUGCUCUUGUGGGAUCCCAGUGAACUUAACAGUGCUUGACACAAAGAGCUCAGCAGUGUUGAAAAAUAAAAUGUGCAAAAUCCUCAGCAAAAUUCUGACCAGUUGAAUCCAACAGCAUAUCAGAAAGAUCAUUCACCCAGACCAAGAGGGAUUUAUCGUCCCUGGUAUGCAAGGAUUUAUCAACACUCGCAAAUCAGUCAAUGUGAUACGUUACAUUUAAAAAACUGCAGAACAAAAACCAUGCGAUUAUCUCAAUAGCAUGCAGAGAAAGCAUUUGAUAAAAUACAACACCCUUUCGUGACAAAAACUCUAAGCAAACUGGGUAUAGAAGGAAUGUUCCUUAACACAAGGCAAUUUAUGACAAAUCAUGGCCAAAGUCCUAUUGAAUGGGGAAAAGUUGGAAGCAUUCCCACUGAGAUCCAGAACCAGACAAGGAUGCCCACUCUCACCAUUGCUAUUCAGUAUAGUCCUGGAAAUUUUAGCCAGAGCCAUUAGACGACAAAAAGAAAUCAAAGGGAUUCAAAUUGGGAAUGAGGAAGUCAAACUAUUC